rnacentral:rRNA from 1 species
UGAACCUACGGGAGGCAGCAGUGGGGAAUAUUGGGCAAUGGGGGAAACCCUGAUGCAGCGACGCCGCGUGGGUGAAGAAGCGCCUCGGCGCGUAAAGCCCUGUCAGCAGGGAAGAAAAUGACGGUACCUGAAGAAGAAGCCCCGGCUAACUACGUGCCAGCAGCCGCGGUAAUACGUAGGGGGCAAGCGUUAUCCGGAUUUACUGGGUGUAAAGGGGGCGCAGACGGCGAUGCAAGCCAGGAGUGAAAGCCCGGGGCCCAACCCCGGGACUGCUCUUGGAACUGCGUGGCUAGAGUGCAGGAGGG